rnacentral:rRNA from 1 species
UACGUAGGGUGCGAGCGUUAAUCGGAAUUACUGGGCGUAAAGGGCGCGUAGGCGGACAGUUUAGUCAGAGGUGAAAGCCCAGGGCUCAACCUUGGAAUUGCCUUUGAUACUGACUGUCUUGAGUUCGGGAGAGGUGAGUGGAAUGCCGAGUGUAGAGGUGAAAUUCGUAGAUAUUCGGCGGAACACCAGUGGCGAAGGCGACUCACUGGCCCGAUACUGACGCUGAGGCACGAAAGCGUGGGGAGCAAACAGG